AAGACAUUUUUCAAUAGAAACACAGCUGAAAGCUAUCACUAAAUUCUGUUGUUAGAACUUUAUGCUAUUCAGUAAAGUAACUAUCAACAAGGAUCAAACAAAAAUAUCUAUUUUGCCAUGUUUAUUACACUUGCAUUUUUACCAAUUACCAGCAAGGCCAAAUGAGUAUUAUUAGUCACAACGUUACCAAAUUAACAUCAUACUGGAAUAGUCAACCCUAAAAUAUACAGGUGAAAUUCAUCCUUAUAUUCAAAUCUCAAAUAAAACUACAUAAAAUGGCAAUAGUAAAGGACAAAUGUGCCAUUAGGAUACACUGAAGUAAAGUAAUUACAAAGCAGAAGGUACAGAACAAUUACUUUAAGAAAGCUCUAAAAUACAAAAUUUUUAAAUUUGUGAAUCUUUAUACCCAUUAGGAUGGCUGUUAUGAAAAAAAAAAAAUAGAAAACAACAAGAGUUCACAAAGACGUGGAGAAGCCAGAGCCUCUGUACACUGCAGGUAUUUUGAGACAGCCUUGCUAUGUAGUAUGGACUGGCUUUCAGUUUGCUACAGAGUCCAAGCUGGGCGUGAACUCCAAAUCCUCCUGCCUCAGCCUUCCAAAUGUUGAGAUUACAGGUAUAAACCACCACUCCCGGCUGUUCUUUCAAGUCAGGCACAGUGUAUACACCGCAACCCCAACGCUUGAGAGGCUAAUGACUGCAAGGCCAUCGUGGACUACGGAGCAAGAUCCUGUCUCACUCCGCUCCCCGCCUCCCAAAAAAGGAAGAGAAGAAAAACAGUAAUUUGAAACCAAGAAACUUGUGUGUCUGUCUGUCUGAGGACUGAAUCCAUGACCUUUACAUUGAGCCAUUUUUUACUUUUUGUUUUGAGACAGGGUCUUACUAAGUCACUAAGUUGCCCCCGCUGCAGUUAAACUUGCAGGAAUUAUAAGUUUAAAACCAUGAAACUCUUAGUAUACUGUAUCUGUCAAUUAGAAAUCUCUUUGCUAUUCUACCAUGAAUAGUAAAAAAAUUGAUUUUUGUAGCGACAGUCCAUAUUAAUGACAUCACCUCUGAGUAUAUAAUUAUGUUAAAGUUACAAAAAAAAGGAGAAACACCUAGUGAUUGAUAAAAUUAUACAAUUAAAUGUGAACUAUGGAUAUAAACCUAGAUUAAAGCUAUAUUUAAGUUGACUAUGUCAAGUGGUUUACUUUAAAUGAAUCUCUGCUGCAGCUAUAUCCUAAUUAUAUAGCAAGGUAAACCACAUACCUCCAAAAUUAAUAAAGUAUCAAGAAACGCUUAGGAUAUAUCCAUUUCAAAACUAACUAUAAGCUUAUUUGAGAUACUUACCAUAAUAGAAAUUUUAACACAUGAUCAAUGAAAUCCUCCUUAUAAGUAUUAGCAAUUUCCAAAAUAAACCUUUAAAGAAUUUUUACUAAAGUAUACCAUAGAACCAUAAUGUCAAAUGUAUAGCUCCAUGUUAGCAAAAGAAACACACAUGUGUAUUACACUAAAACUAAGACACAGUACUUUUAUCAGCAUCUCAAAAGUUCCCUCCCAGUCUUUACUGACUGGAUUCUCAACAACUGUAACUGCUCUACUACUGUGCUAAGUGUAAAGACUCUGCUAACUUUACAUAAAAAAAAUAUAUGGCAUGUACUCUUGUAUCUGGAUUUUAAAACUUUUUUUUUUGCUCAACAUAUGUCUAUGGAAUUUAUUCAUAUUGUUUUAAGUACCAGUGGUUUGUUGUUGGUUUUGUUGGUAUAUAGCACUCAUCUAUGGAAACUCAUACAGUUUAUUUAUUCUAUUACUGAGGGGUACCUGGAAUGUUGUCAGCUUUCAGGCAUUAUAAAAAAUAGCACAGUA